UAAUUUAGUUAGAAAUCGAUGGACUUGAUGCAAAUGUAAUAUAUGUCUGAUGAAUCAAAAAAGGGUCUUGCUCUUAUUUCAAAUAGAAUCCUUGGCUUCCAUCAGUAAAAGUCUCUCUUUAAGAUAAAGUAGGCUUCUUCUUGUACUUCAAUUAGAAAUUUGAAUUUCAUUAAUCUCAAAGGCUUCUUUCUAUAAAGGAGUCCUAGGUUCUAUAUGUAAGAGGUCAUGGACAGAGCUUCAACCCUUCUUUUAC
rnacentral:lncRNA from 1 species